GCACGGAUGGCCGAGUGGUCUAAGGCGCCAGACUCAAGCGAUGGCUUAACGCGAGCGAGCGUUCUGGUAUCGGUAUCGAUGCGUGGGUUCGAAUCCCACUUCGUGCA
rfam:Steinernema glaseri strain NC unplaced genomic scaffold GLAS_5110, whole genome shotgun sequence.